GAUUGGUUAAUCAAAUGCUUCAAAACAUUCGUAAUGGCAACUUGACCAUACUCUUUGUUAAUUGAUAAAUAUAAACACGAUUUUAUUAUAACUUCUUACAUAAAAUGGUUCGAUACUGCAUUUUGUGUUGUAAUCGUGACAAAACAGUGUCUUAUCACAAAUUUCCAAAAGAUAUGCACAUAAGGAAAAAAUGCAACUAAUAGAAUUUUAAUGAGUGGAAGCAUACCAUCUAUUUAUCAUGUCAAAAAAAGAAAAAGGAAUCAAAAUAACAACAAAGUUGAGAUUGCAAAAUGCCACAAAAGUGAAUAUAUGGUAAAUGUAUGUCAAGAGAAAUCAUGUUCAACAAUGGUAAAUUUAUGUGAGAAGGAACUAUCAUGUUCGAUUAUAGUAAAUGUAUGUAAAGAGGAACCAUCAUAUUCAACUAUAAUAGCUAGU